rnacentral:rRNA from 1 species
CUACGCACUCCUACGGGAGGCAGCAGUGGGGAAUAUUGCACAAUGGGCGCAAGCCUGAUGCAGCCAUGCCGCGUGUAUGAAGAAGGCCUUCGGGUUGUAAAGUACUUUCAGCAGUGAGGAAGGUGGGUAUGUUAAUAGCAUAUUCAUUUGACGUUAGCUGCAGAAGAAGCACCGGCUAACUCCGUGCCAGCAGCCGCGGUAAUACGGAGGGUGCGAGCGUUAAUCGGAAUUACUGGGCGUAAAGCGCAUGCAGGUGGUUUGUUAAGUCAGAUGUGAAAGCCCGGGGCUCAACCUCGGAAUUGCAUUUGAAACUGGCAAACUAGAGUACUGUAGAGGGGGUAGAAUUUCAGGUGUAGCGGUGAAAUGCGUAGAGAUCUGAAGGAAUACCGGUGGCGAAGGCGGCCCCCCUGGACAGAUACUGACACUCAGAUGCGAAAGCGUGGGGAGCAAACAGGAUUAGACUACCCUGGUAG